rnacentral:rRNA from 1 species
UACGAAGGGGGCUAGCGUUGCUCGGAAUCACUGGGCGGAAAGCGCACGUAGGCGGAUUGUUAAGUCAGGGGUGAAAUCCUGGAGCUCAACUCCGGAACUGCCUUUGAUACUGGCGAUCUCGAGUCCGGGAGAGGUGAGUGGAACUGCGAGUGUAGAGGUGAAAUUCGUAGAUAUUCGCAAGAACACCAGUGGCGAAGGCGGCUCACUGGCCCGGUACUGACGCUGAGGUGCGAAAGCGUGGGGAGCAAACAGG